rnacentral:piRNA from 1 species
UNCUUUUAUCAGGUGUGUCUUCUUAGCCU